UGCAGGGUCACUAAGAAUGCAGAUCUGAU
rnacentral:piRNA from 1 species